CUAGAACCAUCCAUCCAGGUAGGUAGGUAGUAUACACUAACACACUGAACACCUGUCUAGAACCAUCCAUCCAGGUAGGUAGGUAGUAUACACUAACACACUGAA